UAUGGCCGUAUCACGUUGAAACACCUAUUCUUGUAAGAUCCCUGAAGUUAAGCAAUGUCAAGCCUGAUCAAUACCUAGAUGGGUGACCGAUUGUGAAUAUCAGGUGCGGUAAG